UGCAAACUGUGAAGCUGACUACUUAUGCCCC
rnacentral:piRNA from 1 species